rnacentral:rRNA from 1 species
ACUCCUACGGGAGGCAGCAGUAGGGAAUCUUCCACAAUGGGCGCAAGCCUGAUGGAGCAACACCGCGUGAGUGAAGAAGGGUUUCGGCUCGUAAAGCUCUGUUGUUAAAGAAGAACACGUAUGAGAGUAACUGUUCAUACGUUGACGGUAUUUAACCAGAAAGUCACGGCUAACUACGUGCCAGCAGCCGCGGUAAUACGUAGGUGGCAAGCGUUAUCCGGAUUUAUUGGGCGUAAAGAGAGUGCAGGCGGUUUUCUAAGUCUGAUGUGAAAGCCUUCGGCUUAACCGGAGAAGUGCAUCGGAAACUGGAUAACUUGAGUGCAGAAGAGGGUAGUGGAACUCCAUGUGUAGCGGUGGAAUGCGUAGAUAUAUGGAAGAACACCAGUGGCGAAGGCGGCACCUGGUCUGCAACUGACGCUGAGACUCGAAAGCAUGGGUAGCGAACAGGAUUAGAUACCCUGGUAGGAUAGCG